UUUACAUCUCUGCCAACGGCAUCCUCCAACUGCUGCGACGGAUUCUUGUAACUCCACCUGGGCCUGGGAUCUGCUUCGAAGGAGCUGCUGAAGGUUUUUUUUAACCAAAACAACCAGUUUUCCACUUUUGGAAGAUCGAUCUGUCAGGAAAGAGUUCUUCUGGUCAGGAUUGUUAAGACUGAAGAUGUCUUUAAAGAAACGGCUACUCUCCAUGUUGUUGUGCUGUGUUUACUGCGUGGCCUCGCUCUUCUGCCUCCACCCGAACCGCAACAACUGCUUCUCCGUCGGAGCUCGGAAUCUGGUGUCAGUUGUCCAGCAGCUUUACCAGCGUGUCAUUCGACUGCUGCGCACCACUCUCUGAUCCACAGCGCUCCCUGUGUUUAAACCAGUAACUCUGGAGCUGUCCUACCACUAUGGCCACUGUGGCUGUUGUCAAGCAUGCCCUCCAGUAGUGCAUCGCCAAUUAAAAAGAAGAAGAAGAAGAAACAGAGGGAGAGGAAUGGUGUCACUCCAGUUUUGGACUGUGAAGUUUCCACAAAAAUCAGUUUUCUCUGAAUUGGGCUCCAACUGCCCUGUUGUGUUUCCUACUGCAAUUCUCUGACUAUAUUUUAGAAGAGGAGGCGCGCAGUAGCUGAAGAAGUUUUUUUACUGACUUACUGUUUAACAUUGUAGGUAUCUGCUGUGUGAGGUGGAAAGGAAAGUCGUCUUUUAAAUGCAUUUUGAGGGUUCACUGCGAGUUUGGCUGUUCUGCUGUUUACUGCAUCAGCAGAACAAUGUAGCUUAAAGAAACAGGCUUGUAACCAGGAGGUUGCUGGUUGAAAUUCCUGGACAUGCUGGCAGUACUGUUGUAAUGUGUGAUGGUGCAAGUCUUAUUUUCUUCAUUAACAACCACCACAGAGCUGUCCCUGCAGGCAGAAGGUUUUCAGUGGGCCUGCAUUGUAGCGGGGGGAUAACACCUGUGGUGUGAGUGUGAUCGAUUUUUUUAGAGGUCUUAACAGGUCCAACAUUUGGGGAAACCUACCCAUACUCAACAUGCAUAAAUAAAUUUUCAAGGAAAGAUCAGAAAGGAGACUGGAUCCAAAAGGGACCCACAGAUAAUCAGAUCAGAUCCAAAAUGUGGUCGACCCAAGCAGACCCAAAUAGAGAGAGAGUACUAGCACUGGCAACACUUUUUCUCACUUUCUUACGGUGGUAGCAUGCAGAUGCUGUUGUUUUGGUUUUAUUUAUGCAGGUUUUGAGAUGUCUCUGAGAUAUGUGCCUUUAUGCCAAUAGAAAGGAAGUGAUAAUAGUUUGUGGUGCUCACAGCAAUGAAAAAUUUAAAGUAUCCAACAGUCUUUCCAAACACAUAUCCCUGUUACUCUGGAUAAUUCACAGAACACAGAACAGUUUUCAUAGGACUAAUUCUUUGGUUGAAAACAAUUUCAAUGAAAGCUGUUCACACUGAGCUCACAGUGAGGUCGCUUGUCAGGAAAACCUAAUCAUGGGUUGCAGCAAAGAAUGCUGACAUUUUGUUUUGUUUUGGUGAGGACAGUCUCACAUCCGUUGGUGUCAGAAAAGAUGGGCGGAGCAGGAAAAAUCAGGUAGAGGUCACCUGAAGGUUAAAAAGCUGCUGGUCUGAAUUAUAAUUUGUGUUUGUAAAACUGAGAAAAGGGAAGUGAAUGAGUAAAGGCUGAUUCACAUAUGGAGAUAAAUCUGACACUUAAAGUUAGAAAAAGAGAUCACACAUUUACAACAAAUCAAAGUUGUAAGAAAGAAGGGAUGUGAUAACUGAUUAUUUGUUUGUGAGAGAAUUGAUCGCAGAUGACAUUUCAGAUAGAAUACUUGAGCAACAAGUUAUGUGAAUGGGCUACAAUAUUAUCUGCUGCCUGAGAAGAUGAUGUACUUUUGAGCAUGGCUCUGAGUGUCAGUGUGGCUGCCAGAUGCCUUUACUUUAAUGCUCCCUCCAGCAUUAGCCACUUCACCCAGGAGGUUAUGGUGAAAAAAACAACAAGGUGUUCUGAGUCAAGAUGUUUGCUUGAAUAAAUGAAAUUUAGAAAGAUCCUGUGGCUGUUGAACAGUGGUGAAUAAACACUCAGUUAUGACUAUCUAUUGAGGUGAUAUGAUUAACUUUAACUUUACUUAAUAUCAUUAUUUAAAUAUAAUGUGGACAGAUCCACUCCAAUAAAACAAAAUCAA